rnacentral:rRNA from 1 species
UACGUAGGGUGCAAGCGUUAAUCGGAAUUAUUGGGCGUAAAGAGCUCGUAGGCGGUCUGUUGCGUCUGCUGUGAAAACUCGGGGCUUAACCCCGAGCCUGCAGUGGAUACGGGCAGACUAGAGGUAGGUAGGGGAGAAUGGAAUUCCCGGUGUAGCGGUGAAAUGCGCAGAUAUCGGGAGGAACACCGGUGGCGAAGGCGGUUCUCUGGGCCUUACCUGACGCUGAGGAGCGAAAGCGUGGGGAGCGAACAGG